GACGAACGCUGGCGGCGUGCUUAACACAUGCAGGUCGAACGGAAGGGCCCUGCUUUUGUGGGGUGCUCGAGUGGCAAACGGGUGAGUAACACGUGAGUAACCUGCCCUUGACUUUGGGAUAACUUCAGGAAACUGGGGCUAAUACCGGAUAGGAGCUCCUGCUGCAUGGUGGGGGUUGGAAAGUUUCGGCGGUUGGGGAUGGACUCGCGGCUUAUCAGCUUGUUGGUGGGGUAGUGGCUUACCAAGGCUUUGACGGGUAGCCGGCCUGAGAGGGUGACCGGCCACAUUGGGACUGAGAGACGGCCCAGACUCGUACGGGGGGCAACAGGGGGGAGUAUUGCACAGUGGGCGGAAGCCUGAUGAAGCAACGCCGCGUGCGGGAUGACGGCCUUCGGGUUGUAAACCGCUUUCGCCUGAGACGAAGCGUGGGUGACGGUAAUGGGUAAAGAAGCACCGGCUAACUACGUG
rnacentral:rRNA from 1 species